GAUGUCAUCUUUGUUGAAGGAGGA
rnacentral:siRNA from 1 species